CCUUCGAGGAGCAUCAUGGCGACUGUCAACAACAAAAACUAAAAAAAAAAAAAAAAUUAUCUCUCUCUCAGAGAAAACGACAAUACGUUUUUUGGUUGUUUAAGUUCAAGACAUGACAGUGUCAAAUUUCGAGGCGAAUUAUAGUGGGGAAGCUGCAAGUCACGGAAGAGAAAAGGGAAUGCUCUUAAUGAAGCAAUUGAGAUUCUGUCGCCCUCAUUAGCUAACAGGGACUUUGAACAACUUUAAGUUUAACCGCUAUCAUCAUCAUCAUCACUACCACAGGACAUCAAACGCCUUAUCAGAGAGAAACAGUUCGAGCCAUCGCAUUAGAGAUCCAGGAGAGGUAACGGCGCCUUGUGGUUCUCGGACAUGUUUCUGACUGUGUACCAAAGAGAGGACGGAGGGGGUUGGCUGAGUGCGAGCACAGGCUCCCAUCAGAAGGGGAUUAAAGAGGAAAAGGGCAACUAGGAUCACUUGGAGAGCAGACCCCUUCCACUUCAGCCAACACUCAAGCAGGGAUGAAGUGGAGGCGCAGAGACGACCCACAGGGAGAGAGUGCAGAGCGAAGGGAGAGACAGGGAGGUGGCAUAGUUUGGAUUCCCAAUAUGUGUCCGGGGAAUCCGAAGUGAGGCCAGAUGGCACAGGCCUGUCAGUCUUUGGGAAUCACAGCAUACGGCGGCGGCACGCAUGGCAGAAGGGAGCGGGAAACAGUGCCGGGGUCAGCUCUUGAUGUUGGACGUUCCCCGGAGCGGUUCCUUCCAUCCCUUUGAACAAGAGAGCAUCUCCACACUACUGUGCGGCGUCUCUGC